AUUUCCUGAGACGGAGGCAUCUCUGCACCACAAAGGAGACUGCGGCACUAUGCAGCCUGAACAGCACGACAAAGCAUCUGAUCUGCCUGCUUUGACAAGAUGUGGCUGGGCCUGCAGAAAGAGUGUAAGCACACUACUGUGUUGCUGAUCAGUGCUGGUGCUGAUCUCUACGUCUGAGUUGGCCUCACAACGUCCAGGCGCCACUGUGCUUUGCUUCAUUGACAAGGUGUGGCUGGGCCUGCAGAAAAGCUGUAAGCAGACUGCAGUGUUGCUGAUCAGUGCUGAUCUCCACGUCCGAGUUGGUCCCACAAUAUCCAGGCACCACGGUGCUUUCACAAGGUUCACAAUCGAAAUGGGUUAUUUAUUUGUGCUAGUAAGUGGAUGUGGGUAAACCAAGCCAGAACGGACAGCAAGUUUGCCAGGGAGAUUGCCCGAUGCUUGUGGCAGGCACAGGAAUUAAUCCACAGGAGUGUUACGAGCAAAAGUAUGUAUGCGAAAGCUAAAGGAAGGUGGUGAGGCCAAGCCAGCGUUGACACCACAAAAUCUUGGUCCAUAUCUUAGUAAGUAGACCCUGUCCUGCUAGCUCAUGUUUUCAUAAGGAUUGCAAAGUGUUUGGAAGUUAAAGGAGUAAUGCCUAUCACACGGUGCUUUUUCUGCACGAAUAUAAUGGGCUGUCGGUAAGAUCGGGUUGUAUUGAGGUGAUCUCUCAUAUGGGCCGACACAGUUUACAUCUACACAUCAGGGGCAUGCAUAGCUGUAUGCGUAUAUUUAGUGCUGUGCUCUAGCUCGCUAACAAAAACUAUCAUUUAGUUUCUAUAGUGGUAUUAAAGGUGCAUUAAUCUUUCCUAUAAACAAUUCUGCACUGGCAUCUAUGCAGUGUUUUCCGUCUGCAUAUUCCGCAGUGCGGUAGCAAAGAGCUGUGCUAUCUGUGUAUUCACUUGCAUGAGCUUGUUAUACUUGUUCAUUUAAUGUAAAAUACUUGUGGAAAAGUAUUAGACUAUUUCUGUGGUCUUGUAUUGCAAUUCUGCAGCCAUUUAUAUUGUUUGUAAAACACGAACAUUUAACAGAGACAGGAACAAGACAAUGCGAGGACGAGCACUUGCUUUCAACUGCUGUGGUUAAUGUUGAAAUAUCAAUUUACAUAGGGAAAAAGCUCAUAAGCCUCCGUGUUUUCUUUUUCCUGUUUCUCUGUGAGAUUUUCACGCUUUACUCAAUAUCAUGCAAGAACCAGCCCAUUCAGUUAUGCAGUGGAGCCACCUAUUGUGCAUGUCAGUUCCAAUGGCUUGUUAGAAUCUAACAGUGCCGGCUGCUUUGUUUACAUUUUUUUGCAGAGGCAUACGAGCACUUUGUUUCAAAAACGCCAAGCACCGUGGAUACAGAGGCAAAGAUGCUGAAGGACCUGAACAAGCACCCGGCCACCAUGCUUCGGGAUGCAAAAUAAAGAUGGUUUGUGUUAA